rnacentral:rRNA from 1 species
UACGUAGGGUCCGAGCGUUGUCCGGAAUUAUUGGGCGUAAAGGGCUCGUAGGCGGUUUGUCGCGUCGGGAGUGAAAACACGGGGCUUAACCCCGUGCCUGCUUCCGAUACGGGCAGACUAGAGGUAUGCAGGGGAGAACGGAAUUCCUGGUGUAGCGGUGAAAUGCGCAGAUAUCAGGAGGAACACCGGUGGCGAAGGCGGUUCUCUGGGAAUGACCUGACGCUGAGGAGCGAAAGUGUGGGGAGCGAACAGG